rnacentral:tRNA from 1 species
GGAGAGGUAUCGAAGCGGUCAUAACGAGGCGGUCUUGAAAACCGUUUGACAGCAAUGUCACAAGGGUUCGAAUCCCUUCCUCUCCGCCA